UGGGGAAUAUUGGGCAAUGGGCGAAAGCCUGACCCAGCAACGCCGCGUGAAGGAAGAAGGUCUUCGGAUUGUAAACUUCUUUUAUCAGGGACGAAGUAAGUGACGGUACCUGAUGAAUAAGCCACGGCUAACUACGUGCCAGCAGCCGCGGUAAUACGUAGGUGGCAAGCGUUAUCCGGAUUUACUGGGUGUAAAGGGCGCGUAGGCGGGGAUACAAGUCAGAUGUGAAAUCUAUGGGCUUAACCCAUAAACUGCAUUUGAAACUGUAUCUCUUGAGUGUCGGAGAGGUAGACGGAAUUCCUAGUGUAGCGGUGAAAUGCGUAGAUAUUAGGAGGAACACCAGUGGCGAAGGCGGCUUUCUGGACUGCAACUGACGCUGAGGCUCGAAAGCGUGGGGAGCAAACAGGAUUAGAUACCCUGGUAGUCCACGCUGUAAACGAUGAAUACUAGGUGUGGGGGGACUGACCCCCUCCGUGCCGCAGUUAACACAAUAAGUAUUCCACCUGGGGAGUACGACCGCAAGGUUGAAACUCAAAGGAAUUGACGGGGGCCCGCACAAGCGGUGGAUUAUGUGGUUUAAUUCGAAGCAACGCGAAGAACCUUACCAGGGCUUGACAUCCUACUAACGAGAUAGAGAUAUGUUAGGUGCCCUUCGGGGAAAGUAGAGACAGGUGGUGCAUGGUUGUCGUCAGCUCGUGUCGUGAGAUGUUGGGUUAAGUCCCGCAACGAGCGCAACCCCUAUUGUUAGUUGCUACGCAAGAGCACUCUAGCGAGACUGCCGUUGACAAAACGGAGGAAGGUGGGGACGACGUCAAAUCAUCAUGCCCCUUAUGUCCUGGGCUACACACGUAAUACAAUGGCGGUCAACAGAGGGAUGCAAAACCGUGAGGUGGAGCGAACCCCUAAAAGCCGUCCCAGUUCAGAUCGUGGGCUGCAACCCGCCCACGUGAAGUCGGAAUCGCUAGUAAUCGCGGAUCAGCAUGCCGCGGUGAAUACGUUCCC
rnacentral:rRNA from 1 species